rnacentral:rRNA from 1 species
CCCUUAGAUGUUCUGGGCUGCACGCGCGCUACACUGAUGCGCUCAACGAGUUUAUGACCUUGCCCGGAAGGGUUGGGUAAUCUUCUUAAAACGCAUCGUGAUGGGGAUAGAUUAUUGCAAUUAUUAAUCUUCAACGAGGAAUUCCUAGUAAGCGCGAGUCAUCAGCUCGUGCUGAUUACGUCCCUGCCCUUUGUACACACCGCCCGUCGCUCCUACCGAUUGAAUGGUCCGGUGAAAUCUCGGGACGGCGGCUUGGUCGCUUGCGUCCGACUGCUGAAACUUGAUUAAACCAUAUCAUUUAGAGGAAGGUGAAGUCGUAACA